CUGCAUCAGAGGCCAACAGCAUCCCAGGAUUUGCACACAUGAUGAUGGCGGAUCAAGCCAAGGGCAAAGGUACAGAACAGUUUUCUUCUUCAAGUUGUGCUCU